UGUCACAGGAUUUAAAAAUUUGACAGCUGUAAUUUUGGGGGUUACAUGAUACCAAUGCUAAAUCAUUCUAAAGAGUGCCUUUCCUACAUCAUUGCUGGAACUUCCCUAUAUUCCGGAUUGGAGACUAAAAUUUUAUUUCUUUAAAGAUGUUUUUAUUUAGCAUUGUCAGACACAGUUCCAUCAGUCUUUUUAAGGAGACAAAAGACCUCUAAGGUUUAAUUCAGAGUUGAGGGCCACUUACAUUUGAUGAAAAGACGACCUUAUGGCAAAAAUAAUGUCAAUAUUUAGCUUAUUCAUGUGCAGGAUCUACUUUAAUUUUAAAUGAAAUUUAGAGGAAUUCAUAUCUUCUAGUAUAUCAGUCAGUCUAAGCCAGCAUGAGACUAUGUUCUAACAUUAGGUUACCUUAAGAUACAAGCGGUUAAGUUCUACCUUCUG
rnacentral:lncRNA from 1 species